GGUUGAAUAGUGUAAUGGUUAUCACACCAGAUUCUGAUUCAAGUUCGCAUUGAUCGUUCUGGUGAUCUGGGUUCGAUUCCCAGUUCGACCU